CAGUGUCGAAAGCUUUAUCUGAAAAUUCGUUUGCUUUGUUCAACUUACACAGACAGAGAUCAUGUGACAGAGCGAGGUUCAUCGUUUUGUUUGGUUAUGGUUGUCAUGUAAGUUUUUCUACUGUUGGUUCAGGGAGUUGUGUAUUGGCAGCCUCCUGAACAAGCAUUAGAAAAGGUUAAAGAGCUUGUGUGGGAUCCUCUCGUUAGUUCUUAUGGACCCGACGAAGGUAUCCCAGAGUUGAGAGAAGCUCUGCAGAAGAAGUUGUGCGAAGAGAAUAAGCUACACAAAUCUGCUGUGAUGGUUACUGCAGGUGCCAAUCAGGCGUUUGUGAACCUCGUUCUCACGCUGUGUGACCCGGGUGAUUCGGUUGUCAUGUUCGAGCCGUACUACUUCAAUGCCUACAUGGCCA